rnacentral:rRNA from 1 species
GCGUAUAUUAAAGUUGUUGCGGUUAAAAAGCUCGUAGUUGGAUUUCUGUUGAGGGCGACCGGUGUACACCUCGUGUAUUAUUUGGUUCGGUCUCGGCAUCCUCUUGGGGAACGUUUCUGGACUUUAUUGGACAGGGCGAGAUUCAAGACUUUUACUUUGAGGAAAUUAGAGUGUUCACGGCAGGCAAGCGCUUUGAAUACAUUAGCAUGGAAUAAUAAUAUAGGACCUUCGUUCUAUUUUGUUGGUUUCUAGAACUUAGGUAAUGAUUAAUAGGGACAAUUGGGGGCAUUCGUAUUAACGCGUCAGAGGUGGAAUUCUUGGAUUGCGUUACGACGAACUACUGCGAAAGCAUUUGCCAAAGAUGUUUUCAUUGAUCAAGAACGAAAGUAUGGGGAUCGAAGACGCUUAGAUACCGUCGUAGUCUAUACCAUAAACUAUGCCAACUAGAGAUUGGUGGGGUUCUCCUAUUUGGCUCCAUCAGCAUCUUAUGAGAAAUCAAAGUCUUUGGGUUCCGGGGGGAGUAUGGUCGCAAGGCUGAAACUUAAAG